rnacentral:lncRNA from 10 species
UUUUCUGUGCCUCAUGGCAGACACAUGAGUGAUUUAUUGCUCCUAACAUCUCUUAGUUUGUAAUAAAGUUUUCAGCAGCUCUUUUUAGCUGCUGCAACCUCUGCCCCUGCAAACACUCUCUCUUUCUCUUUUUCUCUCUCUCUUUCACACACACACACAUUCUGACUUCACUUUGUUCUUUUUCCACAUAAUGUCAACUCAUAAAGCUUUCAUCAAGUCAACCAGGUGGAAAAAUCCCUUUUGCUGAAAGAAGCCUUCAUUCCGGUCUAGGUGGUGGAGGAGAGUCACUGGGCAGGAGAGGGGAUCAGCAGACAAGGUGGGGAAGAGAAGAAAGUGUGCUGCUGAUGGGAAAAGUUUUAUGUGUGAUGAGAGUUGGGCUUCCUUGGCUUGGAGGAAAUGUGCUUAACUGCCACCAUCUCAACCCUCAACCGUGAACCAGACAGAACUGAAUUCUUUCACCACGUGGGCAGCUUGGCGUUUGACUUCCACAUAACAGCGUGGCCUCCACCAAAGUCCUGGAGAGUCUACAGGAGGAAAGGAGAGGCUGCCACAUUUGGCUGGGACUGGUCACGUGAUGUGAGUGGCAGAGGCUUUGUCCACUUUAAGCUAAAUUAUAAACUGUAUUUUCUUCCCAAAUGUGUGACCCCUAGCUAGCUGGCCUUUGUAAACAUCUCCAUGCCACCGUACAAGUGCUUCUCAAGCUAGAAGCGUGGCUGGGCCUACAGACUCUGCUCAGUUCUAGAGCAGGCUGGGGCUGCAUUCUUAUCUCACCUCUGGGGCUCUCCACAUUUAACCACGCUCUUUCUAUAGAUUGCAUAAAAAUGUCAUGGCCAUUUCAUGGUUUUCCAAAUAGGUUCAAAAUUGUAUCAGAAAGUGGAAUGUCCCGCAAGGCCUGAAUCCAGGUAAUCAAGAGUUUGCUAAGCAUGUCUGCCUUCGUUUCCCAUGGCAGCUGUAGCAAAUCAAAAUGAAUGUCAUAGUUUAAACCAACACAUUUUUUUUCAUCUUCCACUUUAUGAGAUUAGAAGUCCAAAAUGG